UUUACAUUAUUCCAGUCCAGCGAUCCAGUCCAGUACUGGAUUGCUUACUGGAAAAAUGUAAACCGGCACUGGAAUGAACUGAAUCCAGUAAGCAUUCCAGUCCAGUAACUGGAUUUGCGGUCUACUUUUGAAUCCAGUGCGACCAAUCCAGUGCAACUGGAAUAAUGUAGACGGCCAAUCCAGUGCUAUUCCAGUGCUGACGAGGUACACAUGUGUUGGUUGUUUUUGCGGACUUUUUUUGCAAAGAAAAAGGAUUUAACAAUGGUGAAGAAGUUAUCUGAAGACGAAACUGUAAAGUUUGUCACUAUAUACAGAAAAAUCCGUGUUUAUGGGAUAUAACAUCAGAACAUUAUAAAAACAAAGCUAUGCGCCAAACUGCUUUGCAAAAUCUGUGCAUUGGUAUGGAAAUUGAAGGAUUCACACCGGAAGAUGUGAAAAACAAAAUAAAAAGUAUUCGUUCGACAUACUACCUUGAACUAGACAAGAUUAAGAAAUCAUCCACAUCUGGUGCUAGUGGCAAUGUUUACCAACCCAAAGUGAAAUGGUUCGCCGAAUUCAAUUCAUUUAUAAAAAAUGUGAUGGAUAAGCGUAAAACACAGGAAAAUACUGAUGAUGCUCAAAAUAAAGAAAAUACUGACAAUACUCAACCUAGUGCCCAAUGGGAACCCUAUCCAUACAAACCCAGAACCAAGUCUAUCAGAACCGCGAAAGAAAAGAAGUAAAAUUUCACAGCUGUCUACAAUAGUCAGUAGCAUGAAAGAUAUGCAAUACGAUUUAUCCAAAUCAGAAACAGUGGAAGAUGAAUUCGACAUUUUCGGGAAACACAUUGCGAAGCAAUUAAGAACCCUUUCUACAGAACAGGCUAUCCUAGGCCAAGAAGAAAUACAGAGUGUGAUAACAAAAUGUCGACUACACGAUUUGAGAUACGGAAAUAUGACAGUGAAUUCUGCAAACACACAUGCCAGUGACAAUUCGUCAAGACCAAAUAACAAUUUAUGCGUCAAGACCAAGCACGAGUAGUAGUACUUAUACGCCAUUGAAUAGUCCAGCGUCUGUAGAUACACAAACCACCGAGGACUCGUUAAAUAUAGUAAGCGAUGACCCAGAAUAUAUUAAUAUAAUUAUGAAUGCUUUCAAUAAUGCUUAAUUGUAUUAGAUAUGAUACUUACUUAAUAAAAAAAAUAUUACUUUGA